rnacentral:rRNA from 1 species
GACGAACGCUGGCGGCGUGCUUAACACAUGCAAGUCGAACGGAAAGGCCCUGCUUUUGUGGGGUGCUCGAGUGGCGAACGGGUGAGUAACACGUGAGUAACCUGCCCUUGACUUUGGGAUAACUUCAGGAAACUGGGGCUAAUACCGGAUAGGAGCUCCUGCCGCAUGGUGGGGGUUGGAAAGUUUCGGCGGUUGGGGAUGGACUCGCGGCUUAUCAGCUUGUUGGUGGGGUAGUGGCUUACCAAGGCUUUGACGGGUAGCCGGCCUGAGAGGGUGACCGGCCACAUUGGGACUGGGAUACGGCCCAGACUCCUACGGGAGGCAGCAGUGGGGAAUAUUGCACAAUGGGCGGAGGCCUGAUGCAGCAACGCCGCGUGCGGGAUGACGGCCUUCGGGUUGUAAACCGCUUUCGCCUGUGACGAAGCGUGAGUGACGGUAAUGGGUAAAGAAGCACCGGCUAACUACGUG